ACACAUACAUGCGUAUGUAUAUGUGUAUACAUGUGUAUUUAUAUGUAUAUGUGUAUGUAUAUGUAUAUGUGUAUGUAUAUAU